GACUUAAGCAUAUCAAUAAGCGGAGGAAAAGAAACCAACAGGGAUUGCCUUAGUAACGGCGAGUGAAGCGGCAACAGCUCAAAUUUGAAAGCUGGCUCCUUUGGAGUCCGCGUUGUAAUUUGUAGAGGAUGAUUCGGCAAGGGCUCCCGCCUAAGUCUCCUGGAACGGAGCGUCAUAGAGGGUGAGAAUCCCGUAUGCGGUGGGCUGCCUAAGCCAUGUGAAUCUCCUUCGACGAGUCGAGUUGUUUGGGAAUGCAGCUCUAAAUGGGAGGUAAAUUUCUUCUAAAGCUAAAUACCGGCCAGAGACCGAUAGCGCACAAGUAGAGUGAUCGAAAGAUGAAAAGCACUUUGGAAAGAGAGUUAAAAAGUACGUGAAAUUGUUGAAAGGGAAGCGCUUGCAGCCAGACUUGUCCGCAGUUGCUCAGCCGGUCUCCUGACCGGUGUACUCUUCUGCGGCCAGGCCAGCAUCAGUUCGGGCGGUCGGAUAAAGACCUCGGGAAUGUAGCUCCUCUCGGGGAGUGUUAUAGCCCGGGGUGGAAUGCGGCCAGCCUGGACUGAGGAUCUCGCUUCGGCUAGGAUGCUGGCGUAAUGGCUGUAAGCGGCCCGUCUUGAAACACGGACCAAGGAGUCUAACAUCUAUGCGAGUGUUUGGGUGUCAAACCCAUGCGCGUAAUGAAAGUGAACGGAGGUGGGAACCCUCACGGGUGCACCAUCGACCGAUCCUGAUGUCUUCGGAUGGAUUUGAGUAAGAGCAUAGCUGUUGGGACCCGAAAGAUGGUGAACUAUGCCUGAAUAGGGUGAAGCCAGAGGAAACUCUGGUGGAGGCUCGCAGCGGUUCUGACGUGCAAAUCGAUCGUCAAAUUUGGGUAUAGGGGCGAAAGACUAAUCGAA
rnacentral:rRNA from 1 species